rnacentral:rRNA from 1 species
AGGAUAAACGCUGGCGGCGUGCUUAACACAUGCAAGUCGGACGGAGUGGUCUCCCGAAGACCUGACGAGCUUGCUCUGAUGGAAUUCAUUUGAAUCACUUAGUGGCGGACGGGUGAGUAACGCGUGGGGUAACCUGCCUCACACUGGGGGAUAGCAGUUGGAAACGACUGAUAAUACCGCAUAAGCGCACAGUACCGCAUGGUACAGUGUGAAAAAACUCCGGUGGUGUGAGAUGGACCCGCGUCUGAUUAGCUAGUUGGUGAGGUAACGGCCCACCAAGGCGACGAUCAGUAGCCGGCCUGAGAGGGUGUACGGCCACAUUGGGACUGAGACACGGCCCAAACUCCUACGGGAGGCAGCAGUGGGGAAUAUUGGACAAUGGGGGCAACCCUGAUCCAGCCGACGCCGCGUGAGCGAAGAAGUAUUUCGGUAUGUAAAGCUCUAUCAGCAGGGAAGAUAAUGACGGUACCUGACUAAGAAGCACCGGCUAAAUACGUGCCAGCCGCCGC